UUUACCAAUUCCAAACCAUAUCAAUCUUAAUAACUACCAUUAUUUUUUAUUUAAUCAUUUAUGAGUGCUAUACAAUAGUCCAGGAAAGCUGGAAGAGAAAAACAGGUCAAGAAGAACUGACAAAAGAAUUGCAAAAGAAUUAGGAAUUAAUGUGAAGAUUAAUUUUUAGUCAAUUCUGCAAGACAGACUUUCAGGAAAGGAGGUGGAAUAAAAAUGAGCUCCUAAAUCUUAAUCCCGGAUUCUGGAAGAUAUAUUCCUCAAACCAUCAAACAAGAGGAGGUGGUGCUGGUCCUUCACGAGUCAGUCUAAUCUGUUCAUUAAGCCUAUAUAUAAAGUCUUAAUAUAUAGUAUUUCACAAUACUUCAUGGUAUUCUAAUUAAAUAUUUUUUUGGAAUCUUAGAUCUCUCAGAACCUGACACAUUGUAAUUCUGAGACUCCAGGAAAGUGUCAGUUCUGUAAAAUGUUGGCGCUGGAGACUAAAUGCUCACUGAUAGUUUCACACCUUAUUCACUUAAAACACACACAAACACACACACACAGUGACAGAGGGACAGAGUGACAUCAGAUGUAUGUUUUUUAAUUUUCUGUCAUCCAUAUAAUGUUGUAUAGUCAUGAAACUAUGCAUAUUUCCUCAGAAUGACUUGUCUUCUAUGUGUACAUUUUUUUGAAGUGUUUAGAAGCUGCACUUUUUUUUACUGGUUCCUUUUUUACUAUUAUUUCAAAAAAUCACCACGACAAAACCAUUCAAGCUAUCCAAAAUUCAUUCACACCUGUUCUGUAAGAUUAAUUCUUUAAACAGUGGUAAAAGAGGAUGUGGUGCUGAACCUUCAAGAGUCACUUAAAACGUAUCUGUCCAUAAAGCCUAUUAAGAAUUAUUCUUAAUACACUCUAAAAACGGCUGGGUUAUUUUUUAACCCAAAAUGCUGGGUUGAGUCUGUUGGGUCAUUUUGUUGGGUUAUUUUAUUUAUUUUUAAACACUUUUGGGUAGUUUCAGUUUACCAGGUGUUGGGUUAAACCUGCUGGGUUGCGUCGCUGGGUUGUUUCAGGCCAGCGCUGGGUUAUUUAACGCGCCUUGAAGAUGUUUAAAUCGCUCCCCAACUGUCACUUUGGAAGAACAACGGGGCAAAGACACGGCUUUCAACUGUUUUAAGGUAAGUUUAUUUCAUGUUUUCAUUAAUAAUUAUUUUAAGUUGGCAGAAUUAUAACCUUUUUGCGGCUACAAUACUGUUAAACUUCUACAGGCCAACAUUAUUUACGUUAAAUGAUGAACAGUUUACCUCAAACGGCCAACCUGCGUUACGUGACUCGCAUAAUCAUGUUAAGAUAUCUGAGACGACAAAUUAAAACAGUUUUAUUAAGUUUCAGACAGUUACGGAUGGCUGAAAUAUGCGAAUACCUGUGAAAAUAGAGGAAAAAGUAGUUUGUGACACUGAAAAACGAAUUUAACAUUUAAGUGAGUGAAAUGAGUUCAAAAAGCAAAUACGACUUUCUGCUCUAAUGUAAACGCCUGCAGUUGUCCAUAUCGACAUGUAAAUCAUACAAUUACGUACGAUAUAGUCGGACUGCAGGUCUAAAAGAACCGACGAUCCGGUUCAAAUAAACCGGUUCAGUAAUUCUCGAACAAAGUAAUUCCCGGAAAAGAAUCGACGUCUCUUCAAAGUGACGCACGCACAGCGAGGGCCGCGUUAGUGAAGUGAUUUGAUGCUUGUGUGGUUUAUAAAGUAUUUUCACAUACAAAUUGUAAUUCAAAAUGUGUUUUUUUCCUGUCAGAAAAGCACAUGGAUACAUUUGUGAGAGGAAAAACUCGUCAAAUGCAGUCUUAUUGAGGCGUCUAAAGGUCUGAACAAACCUGGAAUUCCUUAACCGAACAGAGUCCACAAAACCCCAUCCAAUUGUCAUGGUGAUUUAAAAAUGCCAGCAGAUCUCUCAGGCAUUAUCAUAAUCAAUGGACAGGUCACCGUAGCCACCAGAUCCAGUCUGUAUCCAGAUCAGAGGGUCACUGCAGUCACCCGGAUCCAGUACGUAUCCAGACCAGAUGGUGGAUCAGCACCUAGAAAGGACCUCUACAUCCCUGAAAGACAGCGGAGACCAGGACAACUAGAGCCCCAGAUACAGAUCCCCUGUAAAGACCUUGUCUCAGAGGAGCACCAGGACAAGACCACAGGAAACAGAUGAUUCUUCUGCACAAUCUGACUUUGCUGCAGCCUGGAAUUGAACUACUGGUUUCGUCUGGUCAGAGGAGAACUGGCCCCCAACUGAGCCUGGUCUCUCCCAAGGUUUUUUUCUCCAUUCUGUCACCGAUGGAGUUUUGGUUCCUUGGUUUUCCUUAGUUUGAGACAAUUAAUAUCAAGCGAUAUCAUCGACUUGAUUGCACAGAGGGACGAUACAUCACUGAAUCAAUGAUGAACUGACUUCAACUGAAAACUGAGUGUUUACUUUUGUGUUUACUCCUUGCAUUAUUACACACUAUUUUCCUAUUUAAUACUGUAAAGCUGCUAUGAUGCAGUAUUUGAUCAAUAUGACAGGUUUAUUACUCAUAAUACAUGGAAAAUACAGCUGCAAAUGGACUUUGCUUUUCUAUUUGAAAUUUGGCAGUCACUGUGCAUUCAUGAAUGCAUCAAGUAAUUUUUGUUCAGUGUUUUUGAAAGUGUUUUUGUUCAAGAUUUGCAAUUGUGUUUGGAUUAUGUCACAAUUUGUCACAUGUGGAAAACGCAAUUGAAAAUAUAAUUUGCAAUUCCUUUUGAAAAUUGUCCUUCCAUAGACAGGCUCUAUAGCAUAGAGUACACUGCUCUCGGCUGUAGAUCUUUGCUUCAGAGCUUAAGUGUUUGACAAUAGUACACCCAAAAAUGAAAAUUGUUAAUUAUUCACCCUGGUCUGAAAUCUCUCGAAUAUCAUCGAAAAUAUCUUAACUUGUCUUCUGAAGAUGAACGAAGGGCUUACGGGUUAGUAACAACAUGAAGUUGAGUAAUAAAUGACAGAAUUUUCAUUUUUGGGUGAACUAUAUGUUGAACUACCCUAAGCAGUGCACAUCUACCUACAUAGGAGUCUUUAUAUACUUGAUAUAAAUUUAAGGACAUCUUUAAAUUUAAAGAAUGUUAAUGUCAUUUCACUGUGUAUUUAAAUAGCUAAAUAUGUCAAAAUGUAAUAGUUAAACGGCUAGACACAGGUCAUUCAGAAAAAAAUUAAAAUAAUCUGUAAUUCUGUGAUUUUUAUUUUAAUUAUUUAUUUUGCAUUUGCUGGAAACAAAAAAAGGGAAAAUUCCAUGUUGUUUGUCAUUGGUACAAAUUUUUGAAUGUCAGAUGGCAUUAAAAAUAUUUUUAACAGUCUAAAUAACCUGUAUUCUUUAUUUAUUAAUCAAUGAUUGCUUUAAGUAAAAGUGAAAUUAUGAGAAUAACCCAGCAAGAAUAACCCAGAAUCAUAAAAAUGCAAACCCACAAAUGGUAAAAAUGACUCUAACUUGGGUUUUCUAAAUAACCCAGCAUGCUGGGUUAAAAUGUGUAAACCAGCAUGCUGGGUUACUUUAACCCAGCACGUGUUCUGUCCAAUAUUUACCCAGUGCUGGGUUGCCAAUUGGGUUAUUUUUAACCCAGC